GACGGAGGAUGCAAGCGUUAUCCGGAAUGAUUGGGCGUAAAGCGUCCGCAGGUGGCAGUUCAAGUCUGCUGUCAAAGACCGGGGCUUAACUUCGGAAAGGCAGUGGAAACUGAACAGCUAGAGUAUGGUAGGGGCAGAGGGAAUUCCUGGUGUAGCGGUGAAAUGCGUAGAGAUCAGGAAGAACAUCGGUGGCGAAAGCGCUCUGCUGGGCCGCAACUGACACUAAUGGACGAAAGCUAGGGGAGCGAAUGGG
rnacentral:rRNA from 1 species